rnacentral:rRNA from 1 species
UACGAAGGGGGCUAGCGUUGCUCGGAAUGACUGGGCGUAAAGGGCGCGUAGGCGGUUUGUACAGUCAGGUGUGAAAUUCCCGGGCUCAACCUGGGGGCGGCACUUGAGACGUAGGAACUGGAGUGAGGAAGAGGGUCGUGGAAUUCCCAGUGUAGAGGUGAAAUGCGCAGAUAUCAGGAAGAACACCCGUGGCGAAGGCGGCUCUCUGGGACGGUACUGACGCUGAGACGCGAAAGCGUGGGGAGCGAACAGG